CCUACGGGUGGCUGCAGUGAGGAAUAUUGGUCAAUGGACGGAAGUCUGAACCAGCCAAGUCGCGUGAAGGAUGACUGCCCUAUGAGUUGUAAACUGCUUUUGUACAAGAGUAAAACUAAACACGUGUACCUUUUUGCAAGUACUUUAUGAAUAAGGAUCGGCUAACUCCGUGCCAGCAGCCGCGGUAAUACGGAGGAUCCGAGCGUUAUCCGGAUUUAUUGGGUUUAAAGGGUGCGUAGGUGGGUUGUUAAGUCAGUGGUGAAAGUUUGCGGCUCAACCGGAAAAUUGCAAUUGAUACUGGUAGUCUUGAGUACAGUUGAGGUAGGCGGAAUGCGUGGUGUAGCGGUGAAAUGCUUAGAUAUCACGAAGAACCCCGAUUGCGAAGGCAGCUUACUAAACUGUGACUGACAUUGAGGCACGAAAGUGUGGGUAGCAAACAGGAUUAGAUACCCGGGUAGUC
rnacentral:rRNA from 1 species